ensembl:lncRNA
CCCCAAUAGACCCCAGUGUUUAGUACUCCCCUUUCUGUGUCCAUGUGUUCUCAUUUUUCAUCACCCACCUAUGAGUGAGAAUAUGCGGUGUUUCAUUUUUUGUUUUUGUGUCAGUUUGCUGAGGAUGAUGUUCUCCAGAUUCAUCCAUGUCCCUACAAACGACACAAACUCAUCAUUUCUGAUUGCUGCAUAAUAUUCCAUGGUGUAUAUGUGCCACAUUUUUCCAAUCCAGUCUAUUAUCAAUGGGCAUUUGGGUUGAUUCCAGGUCUUUGCUAUUGUAAACAGUGCUGCAAUGAACAUUCGUGUACAUGUGUCCUUAUAGUAGAACGAUUUAUAGUCUUUUGGAUACAUACCCAGUAACGGGAUUGCUGGGUCAAAUGGAAUUUCUAUUUCUAAGGCCUUGAGGAAUCGCCACACUGUCUUCCACAAUGGUUGAACUAAUUUACACUCCCACCAACAGUGUAAAAGUGUUCCUUUGUCUCCACAUCCUCUCCAGCAUCUGUUGUCUCCAGAUUUUUUAAUGAUCGCCAUUCUAACUGGCGUGAGAUGGUAUCUCAAUGUGGUUUUGAUUUGCAUCUCUCUGAUGACCAGUGACGAUGAGCAUUUUUUCAUAUGAUUGUUGGCCUCAUAUGCUGUAGCUUUAAAAAAUUAUCGCCGCCCCCGCACCCCCACCCCGCGUGUUUCCUCCCUUAUUUACUCAUCCCUAAAGGAAGUGACGUCUGUAAAGCGCCAGUGCUUGUUCAGAGCGAGGACAAGACGCAGACGCAUGCGGAGCAAUUAAAUAACUUGACCAGAGCAAGCCAUUUGUCAGUGUCAGAAGCAGUGGAGACUGCAGUGCUUCUCUAGGUAAGUCCCCGGGAAUGAAACUGCUAGGUGCGGGAGUUAGGUGUGUACUCAACUUUACGGGAUAAUGCCACAUUGCUUUUCAAAGAGGCUUUAUUAAUUUACACUCCCAGCAGCACUCGGUGAGAGCUUCUCGUGCCAACUGAGGGAGGAGAAAACGGUGUCUUUGUUGUUUGCAUUUGGCUUUCCUCGAUUUAUUAUGAGCUUGAGUAUCUCUUGUAAGGUCUUUGGCUGCUCACGUUUUCUUAUUCUGUUGCUUGACUGUUCGUAUUCGUUGCCCUUUCUCUUACCUUUUCCCUUGUUGAUUUUGGUGUUUAUCACACAUUCUGGUUACUAAGCCUCUGCGUUCUGCUUUUUUUGCAUAUCUAUCCUCUCAGUUAUCAAGAAGAACCGAUGGACUGAGCUAUGGCUCCAAUAAUAUAUGAGACACUGUUUUAACUUCAAAUUUACUUUUUAAUAAGAAGAUAUGACUGUAAGUCAUAUUCUAUUUCUGAGGAAAUCUGUACCAUCUUUCUGUGCUGUCUGAGCAAAUUAGAAUGACGUCAGUGUCAAACAUCAGAAGAGGUUAAUGACUCAUCUUCCCAAAGGAGGGUGAGCGUGACCGAACUCUGAAAAUCAUAGCGUGUAUCUUCAGGUGAACAGCUGUCUACAGCACUCACGGUUUCCAUUAACAAGAUUUUUUUGUUUUUGGUUUUGGUCACAGGAUUAUAAACUAUUUGUCAUGGGAACAAAUAGGUUGGUAUUACAGAAAAUCUUUUAGCCUGUUUUAGUAAAGUGACAUAGAAACUUUCC